rnacentral:rRNA from 1 species
GAGUUUGAUCGUGGCUCAGAACGAACGCUGGCGGCAGGCUUAACACAUGCAAGUCGAACGGUGUUUCAAGUGUAGCAAUAUAUUUGAAACGCAGUGGCGAACGGGUGCGUAACACGUGAAUAAUCUACCAUUUAGUGUGGAAUAGCUCGACGAAAGUCGGAUUAAUACCGCAUGCGGUUGGUUCUCUCCUGAGAGCCAUACUAAAGUCAGGGACCGCAAGGCCUGACGCUAUUUGAGGAGUUCGCGGCCUAUCAGCUAGUUGGCGAGGUAACGGCUCACCAAGGCUAAGACGGGUAGCUGAUCUGAGAGGAUGAUCAGCCACACUGGGACUGAGACACGGCCCAGACUCC